GGCAUUUUGAAAAGGUGGAAGGUGAGUGUCAAAGCAGAGGACACGCGUCAUUUGAGGGCAGUGGUGGGUUGUUCAAAUAUGCAACAGAGAUAUAGGGAAAGAGAGAGAGAGAGAGAGAGAGAGAUGAGAGAGAGUGACGGUUGACGGCCAUUUUCUCCGGCCGACCGUCUUAGUAGUCCGACGAGUAGCUUUAGACUCGAGUAUCACACUCGAUCAUCCACAGACAAACCCUUCUCGAUGAAUUUUCACGGUGGUGGCGGCUCUAGGGUUCCGGCUAUUAAACCCGACGGCGACCACAACCGACGGUCCACAGAUGCGCCGUACAUUCAUGAUGGUUGUGGUUUCAACGUCGAUGGCUUUUUGGAACUGACCCCCUGCUUCAACUUUCACCCUACAUCGAUUUCCCAAGAAAACCUUUCGAUCCUCGGCAGCCUUAAAUCCAUUCUGUGCUCCACACCUCACAAAGUCUAUUCUGUGACACACCACCAUCCAGACACAGGAGGCAUGCGGUUUGAAGAUCUGGUUUACACAGAUCAUUUCGGAAAAAGAAGUCGCUAGGGUUUGACGAAGCAGGGUCCCAUCGUGAACCCUCAGCGGCAACAAUGGUGCUCAGGUUCUAUGAAGCAUAUGUUCAAACGCGGGAUACAGAGGGGUUUACUCAGGUAUCCUAUGUCUCUAAAGGAUGGGGAGGUUUCGGGUCUAAUGCGUGGAUUCAGUGCCCUUCAGAUUAUCAUGUUCUUUUCGAUGCAAGAUCCUUUUGUUUUAUGUUCAUUUCUUUAUUUGUUUUGAGACAUAUCGGAAAAGCCGGUGGGGUAGGGGAUUUAUGCCUUAUAUUUUUCUUGGGAUGUGUGUGCUUUGGUGAUAUAUUAUGGUUGACAAGGUGGGAAGGACUAGCACCCAGUGUGGGGUUUCGGUAGGGUGGGAAGCGCAAACGUAACGGGCUUUUCGUACCCAAGGCACAAGAUGAUUGAAUGAUUUUCUUAGGAAAAUGGUUGAAGAAAAAAAUGUAAUGCAAAUAAAGCUUAAUCUAAAACCGUAAAAAGUCAAAUGAAAGAUAUGGAAACCAAAAAAAAAACAAAACAACAUAUAUACAUCAAUGCACAGUUGAAAGCCGCCAACAAUGCGGCAGAGAGCGGAAACCGGGUCGAGGCGGAGGAGGCGCCAGAAGAAGAGUCGUCAUUAUCGGAGAAAUGAUUGUCAUUAGAAGGACCGUGGCUUUAAAUCUUUAAUGAUCAUAUAUUAUUAAAACAUAUGUUCUUAUCUUGUGUUUGUGAUUUUUGUUACUUGCAAGAUACUUUUUGUUUUUAUGCUUUGAAAACAAGUUUGUAAUAUUGCUUUUGCAUAAUUAGGACAGCCUUUACAGCGGUUGUGCGAUAAACAAAUUAGAGUUCCAGUGAUGGUGGGCUUAGAGUAUGGAUGGUGGUUGGUUUUGACGGCGUAGGGGUUUUACGGCGACUCCUAAUUCCUGUCCCGACAUUCAGGUAUUGCAUGGUGGAUUAGAGACUAUGGUGGCGUUUGGUAACGGUAGUUCUUCGUCGCCGUUUAAAGCUUCGUCAUGGAAAGAUCUUGCAGUCAAGAGUUGAGUAGCUUUAGUAAUAAUUCUUCCCCAGACUAAUCAUCUUCUCCAACCAAAACCCUCAAUCUGCGAUUCGAAUUCUGAUACCAAACCACAAGAAUAACGCCGAAGAUCAAGCAGGACAACAAUGGUGCUAACCCUGUGGUGGGUGCGUGACAAAAAAACAAGCAGUUUGACUCCUACGAAGUUUAGGAGAUAGUCCUAAGAUAUUCACUUUAAGAAUCAACCAUGGUGGUGUGUUUGUGAAUUCUCCUGUAAAAAGGUAUGUAUAUUUAACGAUCGAUCACAUAAAUAUGGUGGAUUCUGAUGUAUUUUCUGUUAUUGAGUUAAAUCACAUGAUUAUGGAAAUAGGUUAUCCCAAGGAACGGAUUAUGUUCCAUCACUUCUUAAUUCCUCAAACACAAAUUAGUGAUAGGUUAAGACCAUUAGGUAAUGAUCAAGAUGUGCUUUUGUUGAUUGCGCAUGUUUCUAAUUUUAAAGUGAUAGAGGUGUUUACUAAAUGAUGGUCGUCUAGGUUGGGUGUUGAGUACCAUUUUACAUCUCCAAUUAAGACAUCUGGUGUAGUCAUUGAGGAGUUAGAAGUUGAUAAUCCACAACCUUCUAACCCUUAGCCAUCCCACCCUAGAAGAAGACAACUAGCCCUAGAGUAUUUUAUGGAUUUUGAGAGUUCAACUGUUAAUGCUGAUACAACUAGGAAGGGUAAUGAAGAUGAUACCAGUAGGAUUGCAACAAAAGAUGAUAGGAUAGAUGAUCAUGUAUCAGUUAAUGUUGAUACAACUAGGAAGGCUAAUGAAGAUGAUACCAGUAGGAUUGCAACCGAAGAUGAUAGGAUAGAUGAUCAUGCAUCAGUUAAUGUUGAUACAACUAGGAAGGGUAAUGAAGAUGACAUGGUGGAUGAUCAUGAAAAUGUUGAUGAAGUUGAAGAUGAUAGGAUAGAGGAUGUUGAUAACAUGGUUGUAGAAAUACUAGUUAACAUGGAUUCAUUUAACUACAAUGUUGGUAAAUACCUCGAUGCUGAGAAGUUUGUAGAUGAGGAUUAUGAAGUUGACUUUGAUUUAGAUGACUUUGAAAGUGGUAGUGAAGAUGAGGGUGGAAAUGUUAAAAUUUAGCUAUUAAGCAGUGCAAAAAAAAGAAAGAAAGAAAGAGCAAGUGUCUCGAAGGAAACCUUUCUUUGUUGGUCAAACCUUUUCCAACAAAGAGGACAUCAAGAAUAUGGUCAAAUUACAUGCUAUUAGAACUAAAAGACAGUUAUUUAUCAAGAGGAAUGAAAUGUACAGGUUUAGAGUGGUGUGUUUUGGGGUAAAUCCUGUGUUUUGUUUCUGAAGGGUCAAAAGGUACUAAAGUUAAUUUUGAAGGGGCUAACAAAAAAAAGUAGGGAAUCUUUUGAUGGAAAAGUAAACAAGACUUCACAUGUUGGUGGGUCCACUUCUUUGAGUAAAAAGGAUGUACCCACCUGUCCUUGGGCACUACACAUUUCAAGGGAAAAAUUUGAACAAACCUGGUUGGUGAUGACAAAUAAACAUGAACACAAAUGUUUGUUAACCAGGCAGGUGAGGCUAUACAUUAUAAGCUCUAUUUCCAAAGAGAUUCUACCAACAAUUUAGUCAAAUUCUAGUAUACCUUUAAAGGCAUUACAAGAUCAGAUAGAAAAGAAGAACCAGGUUCAGGUGUCUUUCCAGAAAAUAUUCAGGGCAAAGGUGAUGGCUGUAGAAAACUAAAAGGUGACUACAUUGCACAUUAUAUGCUUUUAAGGGAUUAUGGUCAAGAGUUGAUCAGAACUAACCCAGGUUCAACAAUGAAGCUUGAGGUUGAAAGUGAGCCCAAUUCAAGUAGUGAAGCAAGGCAAUUUAACAGGAUCUAGUCAUGCUUUGGAGGAGUGAAACAAAGUUUUAAACAAGGUGGUAGGGAUAUUUUGGGUUUGGAUGGCUGCUCUAUGAAGGGCCCUUAUCCAUGGCAGAUCCUAACAGUUGUUGGUGUGGAUGCCAAUAAUGGAAUCUAUCAUGUAGCAUAUGCCAUAGUUGAAUCAGAAAACACUACUUCCUGGCUGUGGUUCCUUGAAUACUUGGGUGAUGAUCUAGACAAUCAUGCUAAUACCAACUUCACUUUUAUUAGUGAUAGACAGAAGGGUCUGAUACCUGCAAUCAACCAGUUGUUUCCUGGAGCAGAAUAUAGGUAUUGUCUUUGUCAUAUUCAUGAAAACAUGAGAUCCAAAUUGAGAGGGGACCUUUACAAAGACAUGUUAUGGAAAUGUGCAAGUGCUACAACAGUUCCUUUCUUCAAUAAGGACAUGGAUGAGAUCAAACAAAAGGAUGUAGGUUUGUACAACUGGAUGCAACAAAUCCCACCAAAGCAUUGGACCAGAUCCCAUUUUAGUGGUAAGUUUUAAUUAGGUUUCUAUUAUGUAACAUUUUUAAAUAGGCUUUUGUUAUAUGU